AGUUAUUAAGCUUAGGAGCAUGUUUGUUUUGAAAACAAAAAGAAAGUGUUCGAAUCACUUGGUAACUU
rnacentral:tRNA from 1 species